GACGAACGCUGGCGGCGUGCUUAACACAUGCAAGUCGAACGAUGAAGCCUAGCUUGCUAGGUGGAUUAGUGGCGAACGGGUGAGUAAUACGUGAGUGACCUACCUUUGACUCUGGGAUAAGCCUGGGAAACUGGGUCUAAUACCGGAUACGACCAAUCUCUGCAUGGGGUGUUGGUGGAAAGCGUUAUGGAGUGGUUUUAGAUGGGCUCACGGCCUAUCAGCUUGUUGGUGAGGUAAUGGCUUACCAAGGCGACGACGGGUAGCCGGCCUGAGAGGGUGACCGGCCACACUGGGACUGAGACACGGCCCAGACUCCUACGGGAGGCAGCAGUGGGGAAUAUUGCACAAUGGGCGCAAGCCUGAUGCAGCGACGCCGCGUGAGGGAUGACGGCCUUCGGGUUGUAAACCUCUGUUAGCAUCGAAGAAGCGAAAGUGACGGUAGGUGCAGAGAAAGCGCCGGCUAACUACGUGCCAGCAGCCGCGGUAAUACGUAGGGCGCGAGCGUUGUCCGGAAUUAUUGGGCGUAAAGAGCUUGUAGGCGGUUGGUCGCGUCUGCUGUGAAGGCCGGGGCUUAACUCCGGUUUUGCAGUGGGUACGGGCUAACUAGAGUGCAGUAGGGGAGACUGGAAUUCCUGGUGUAGCGGUGGAAUGCACAGAUAUCAGGAGGAACACCGAUGGCGAAGGCAGGUCUCUGGGCUGUAACUGACGCUGAGAAGCGAAAGCAUGGGGAGCGAGCAGGAUUAGAUACCCUGGUAGUCCAUGCCGUAAACGUUGGGCACUAGGUGUGGGGGACAUUCCACGUUUUCCGCGCCGUAGCUAACGCAUUAAGUGCCCCGCCUGGGGAGUACGGCCGCAAGGCUAAAACUCAAAGGAAUUGACGGGGGCCCGCACAAGCGGCGGAGCAUGCGGAUUAAUUCGAUGCAACGCGAAGAACCUUACCAAGGCUUGACAUGCAUUAGAUCGCGUCAGAGAUGGCGUUUCCCUUCGGGGCUGGUGUACAGGUGGUGCAUGGUUGUCGUCAGCUCGUGUCGUGAGAUGUUGGGUUAAGUCCCGCAACGAGCGCAACCCUCGUUCUAUGUUGCCAGCGGUUCGGCCGGGGACUCAUAGGAGACUGCCGGGGUUAACUCGGAGGAAGGUGGGGAUGACGUCAAAUCAUCAUGCCCCUUAUGUCUUGGGCUUCACGCAUGCUACAAUGGCCGGUACAGAGGGUUGCGAUACUGUGAGGUGGAGCUAAUCCCUUAAAGCCGGUCUCAGUUCGGAUUGGGGUCUGCAACUCGACCCCAUGAAGUCGGAGUCGCUAGUAAUCGCAGAUCAGCAACGCUGCGGUGAAUACGUUCCCGGGCCU
rnacentral:rRNA from 1 species